rnacentral:rRNA from 1 species
GACCUCAAAUCAGGUAGGAUUACCCGCUGAACUUAAGCAUAUCAAUAAGCGGAGGAA